rnacentral:rRNA from 1 species
CCUANGGGAGGCUGCAGCUAAGAAUAUUCCGCAAUGGGCGAAAGCCUGACGGAGCAAUCCCGCGUGAGUGAUGAAGGCCCUUUGGGUUGUAAAGCUCUUUCGGCAGGGACGAAUAAGAUCAGCAGGAAAUGGCUGAUUGAUGACUGUACCUGAAGAAGAAGCACCGACUAAUUACGUGCCAGCAGUCGCGGUAAUACGUAGGGUGCGAACGUUGCUCGGAAUUACUGGGCGUAAAGGGUGCGCAGGCGGCUUUGUAAGUUAGUGGUGAAAUCCUGAGGCUCAACCUCAGGCCUGCCAUUAAGACUGCAGAGCUAGAGUCGUAAUAGAGGUAGCGGGAAUUCCAUGUGUAGGAGUGAAAUCUGUAGAUAUAUGGAGGAACACCAAUGGCGAAGGCAAGCUACUGGGUAACGACUGACGCUCAGGCACGAAAGCUAGGGGAGCAAAUGGGAUUAGAUACCCGUNUANUC